rnacentral:rRNA from 1 species
GAAGCCCCCCUCAAGAUGAGAUUUCCCAACUUCGGUUAUAAGAUCCCUCAAAGAUGAUGAGGUUAAUAGGUUCGAGGUGGAAGCAUGGUGACAUGUGGAGCUGACGAAUACUAAUCGAUCGAAGACUUAAUCAA